GAAAAUUUAAGAGACAAGCUUCGACAUCUGAAGAUGCAGUAUAACAAAGAGAAAGAGAGGAUUGAUGAGAUUUGAAGGCUGAAACAUACGUGAAGAGCUCCUCUUUGCACUACAGGAGGCUGAGAGGUGGUAUGAUCUUGAAAAGGUGGAAAAUGCAAUAAAAAAUCUUGAAGGUAGCACUGAUGGAAACAAAGAUGAUAACUUGAUGCUGACAGAAACUGUUGGACCAGACCAUAUAGCUAAGGUUGUUAGCCGAUGGACCGGUACACCGGUGACUCGUCUAGUGCAAAAUGAUAAAGAAAGGUUGGUUGGACUUGGUGACAAAUUGCACAGUAGAGUUGUGGGACAAGACCAAGCAGUUAAAGUUUUUGCUGGGGCUGUAGUGAGAUCGAGAGUUGGUUUAAGAAGACCUCAAAAACCAACUGGUCCCUUCCUAUUCCUUGGUCCAAAUAGUGUUGGUAAAACAGAACUUGCUAAGGCUCUUGCUCAAUAACUCUUUGCUGAUGAAAAUCAUAUGAUUAGACUCGACAUGUCGGAAUACAUGGAAAAAGACUCUAUCAAGAUUGAUUGGUGCACCACCAGGGUAUACAGUCAUUAUCAUGACCUCAAACCUUGGUGCCGAGCAUCUCAUAAGUGGACUUUCAGGAAAAUGCACCAUGCAAGUUGCUCGUGAUCGAGUAAUGCAGGAAGUAAAAAAACAUUUCAGACCAGAAUUGUUGAAUUCGCUGGAUGAAGUUGUUGUAUUUGAUCAUCUAUCUCAUGAGUAAUUGAGGAAGGUUGCAAGGUUGAAAAUGAAGGAUGUAGCUAGUCGUCUUGCUGAGAGAGGAAUUGCACUGGCAGUUACAGAUCCAGCACUAGAUUAGAUUAUAUACUUGCUGAAAGCUAUGAUCCUGUGUAUGGUGCUAGACCAAUUAGAAGGUGGCUUGAGAAGAAUGUGGUGAGUGAGCUGGCUAUGAUGUAUAUAAAGGAAAAAAUUGAUGAGAACACAACUGUAUACAUUGAUGUUGGUCCUAAGGGAAGUGACUUGUCAUACCGUGUGGAAAAGAAUGGAGAGAUUGUUAAUGCUGAAACUGGGGUGAAGUCAGAUAUUUUGAUACAGAUACCAACUUGACCAAAAACUGUCGGUGAAAAUGGAUAUGAGGUCAUUGGUGAUGAUGAAACGGAAGAUUAAGCUUUAUUAGUUGUAACUAAGUUUUUAAGUGAAUGUCUUGGGCUAUGUCACUUUAGUUCUUGAAUGCAUCGAAAUUGCAAACAUA